CAAGACGGAAAGACCCCGUGAACCUUUACUAUAGCUUGACACUGAACAUUGAGCCUUGAUGUGUAGGAUAGGUGGGAGGCUUUGAAGUGUGGACGCCAGUCUGCAUGGAGCCGACCUUGAAAUACCACCCUUUAAUGUUUGAUGUUCUAACGUGGACCCGUAAUCCGGGUUGCGGACAGUGUCUGGUGGGUAGUUUGACUGGGGCGGUCUCCUCCUAAAGAGUAACGGAGGAGCACGAAGGUUGGCUAAUCCUGGUCGGACAUCAGGAGGUUAGUGCAAUGGCAUAAGCCAGCUUGACUGCGAGCGUGACGGCGCGAGCAGGUGCGAAAGCAGGUCAUAGUGAUCCGGUGGUUCUGAAUGGAAGGGCCAUCGCUCAACGGAUAAAAGGUACUCCGGGGAUAACAGGCUGAUACCGCCCAAGAGUUCAUAUCGACGGCGGUGUUUGGCACCUCGAUGUCGGCUCAUCACAUCCUGGGGCUGAAGUAGGUCCCAAGGGUAUGGCUGUUCGCCAUUUAAAGUGGUACGCGAGCUGGGUUUAGAACGUCGUGAGACAGUUCGGUCCCUAUCUGCCGUGGGCGCUGGAGAACUGAGGGGGGCUGCUCCUAGUACGAGAGGACCGGAGUGGACGCAUCACUGGUGUUCGGGUUGUCAUGCCAAUGGCACUGCCCGGUAGCUAAAUGCGGAAGAGAUAAGUGCUGAAAGCAUCUAAGCACGAAACUUGCCCCGAGAUGAGUUCUCCCUGAGACUU
rnacentral:rRNA from 1 species